AGUUCGAAUUGUAGUCUGCAACUCGACUACAUGAAGCCGGAAUCGCUAGUAAUCGCGGAUCAGAAUGCCGCGGUGAAUACGUUCCCGGGUCUUGUACACACCGCCCGUCACACCAUGGGAGCCGGAAAUGCCCGAAGUCAGUGACCCAACCAAUAAGGAGGGAGCUGCCGAAGGCAGGUCUGGUGACUGGGGUGAAGUCGUAACAAGGUACC
rnacentral:rRNA from 1 species